CGUUUGACAACACGAAUCCAAUCAGACUUAACAAGAAAAUUUUUGACUUGUGAAAAAAUGGGAUCUUCUUCCUCGCAUGACUCAACGGAAUCUGAAUCGGCUCCGACGUCAGAAAAUAUUAUUCUUCAUAUCCACGAGGGAUGUAAAUUCAGGGAGACCGAAUUGAAUGUUAACAGCAAUGACAAAAUUUUUAUGGUUAAAGAAGAGAUCAAAUGGCAGGAAGGAAUUUCACCAUAUUCUCAAACGCUCAAGUACGGAGGAGAUGAACUUGAAGGAGGUCGCACAGUAGAAUCCUAUGGUCUUCAAGGAGAAUCAGGCGUUAGACAAGACAUAGUUGAAUGCUUUGUUUCUCCAUCGAGAACCACUGAGAACAAUUACAACAUGAACAACGACGUCAAAAUAGACGUUAAUAUAGAAAAUAAAGAAUAAAUUGUUCUAAAAACC